CUUGACUUUGGCAUUUGUGAAGCUGUGACUGUAAAGACUCCAAACUUCUUUCUGCCUUUCUGGUAGAGAGAAAGGAGAGCAGGGCUCCAGUGGUCCUAAUUGCUCUCUUUUGAAGACGGAAGAAAGUCAGAUGUGAAGUGCCCAAUCAAUCCUGUGAUGGUGGUGGCAGCAGUGGUUGCAGUAGGACCCUGGGAGAAUCUUCCUCUCUGACUGGUGGAGCUUUGUUACCAAGCAGAUUACAUUUGGAGAAUCUAUGGCACAGAGUCCCUACGUUACAGAGAAAGUCUGGGGCUGAGCAAUACUCCCAGCCCCUGCACUCUACCUUCAGCUGUCUCCACUUCUCUGAAACUACUGUGACCAAAGUCAUGAGAGACCAGAUCACCAAUUUUGCUAAAUCCAAUGGACACUCCCUGC